UACAGAGGUCCCAAGCGUUGUUCGGAUUCAUUGGGCGUAAAGGGUGCGUAGGCGGAUCUUUAAGUCAGGGGUGAAAUCCUGGAGCUCAACUCCAGAACUGCCUUUGAUACUGGGGAUCUCGAGUCCGGAAGAGGUGAGUGGAACUCCGAGUGUAGAGGUGAAAUUCGUAGAUAUUCGCAAGAACACCAGUGGCGAAGGCGGCUCACUGGCUCGGUACUGACGCUGAGGUGCGAAAGCGUGGGGAGCAAACAGGG
rnacentral:rRNA from 1 species